GACGAACGCUGGCGGCGUGCCUAAUACAUGCAAGUAGAACGCUGAAGAGAGGAGCUUGCUCUUCUUGGAUGAGUUGCGAACGGGUGAGUAACGCGUAGGUAACCUGCCUGGUAGCGGGGGAUAACUAUUGGAAACGAUAGCUAAUACCGCAUAAAAUGGAUUAUCGCAUGAUAAUCCAUUGAAAGGUGCAAAUGCAUCACUACCAGAUGGACCUGCGUUGUAUUACCUAGUUGGUGGGGUAACGGCUCACCAAGGCGACGAUACAUAGCCGACCUGAGAGGGUGAUCGGCCACACUGGGACUGAGACACGGCCCAGACUCCUACGGGAGGCAGCAGUAGGGAAUCUUCGGCAAUGGACGGAAGUCUGACCGAGCAACGCCGCGUGAGUGAAGAAGGUUUUCGGAUCGUAAAGCUCUGUUGUAAGAGAAGAACGAGUGUGAGAGUGGAAAGUUCACACUGUGACGGUAUCUUACCAGAAAGGGACGGCUAACUACGUG
rnacentral:rRNA from 1 species